UGGAUAAUAGUUAAAAAUAACAUUUGAUUUGCAUUCAAAAAUUAUUAAUUUAUUUUA
rnacentral:tRNA from 1 species